rnacentral:rRNA from 1 species
CCGGGGGGGUCCUUUGAAACCUGUGGAACCUGCCUCCAGAGGCGGAGAGGCCCAUUUCCCCUGGCGCCGUUGAAUUUCGGCGAGGUGGGGACGGACCACCUGCGGCGAAGGCGCACCCCCCGGCGUUUACCUGUCAGUGAGGAGCGAAAGACCCGGGGAGCGACCACGCUCAGAGAGCUCCGUAGUACACGCUGUAAACGUUGACGGCUCACAUGUGAGGGGCCGUCCCCCCCUUAGCAGUCCAGUUACCCCCGUUAUCCAUUCCCCUCCUGGGGUGUGCCGCGGGUUGCAAAUUCUACAGAGAAGAAAGAGGGGGCCGCCCACAAGCGGUCGAGCAUGUGGUACAACUCGAAGCAACGAGAAGAAUCUCACCAGGUGUGGACAUCCUCUGACAAUCCUAGAGAUAGGACGUCCCCUUAGGGGGCAGAGUGACAGGUGGUGCAUGGUUGUCGUCAGAAUAGUGUCGUGAGAUGUUGGGUUAAGUCCCGCAACGAGCGCAACCCUUGAUCUUAGUUGCCAGCAUUCAGUUGGGCACUUUAAGGUGACUGCCGGUGACAAACCGGAGGAAGGUGGGGAUGACGUCAAAUCAUCAUGCCCCUUAUGACCUGGGCUACACACGUGCUACAAUGGACAGAACAAAGGGCAGCGAAACCGCGAGGUUAAGCCAAUCCCACAAAUCUGUUCUCAGUUCGGAUCGCAGUCUGCAACUCGACUGCGUGAAGCUGGAAUCGCUAGUAAUCGCGGAUCAGCAUGCCGCGGUGAAUACGUUCCCGGGCCUUGUACACACCGCCCGUCACACCACGAGAGUUUGUAACAGCCCGAUAGUCCGGCGUAGGUAACGCUCGUUAGCAAACC